CUCCGCGCGUUCACUAAUGCGUCAUAUCGCCUUCAAAGCUGACGUGCCGCCCGUCGCGCCGCGCGCGCUCUCCGCUGCGACACAACAGUUCGCGCGCGCCAUGUGACCUCUCGUGUUCACUUAUGUAUGGACUGGCGAGCCUCCGCGCUUCCAUCUACCGACUCUACCGUGGCGUUCAAUACAUGUCAAACAUGACCAGUGACUAUGGUGCCUGUGACGGGAGAAUCCAGGACAUUGUACGAGUCAGGCGCACGUGCUCGCGUUUCUUUCCAUAACUGAGUAUGGCGCCGGACGUGAGAUGAAUGAAGACAGCAAGCUUCAAGAGGGAGUGGCAGCCGUGAUGCAUAUACUGUCGUGACCGCACAUAUCUUCUGGCUUCAACGUACACAAGCGGGUGGUAACGGCCCGGUUCGUGCGAGGUGGCAGGACGACAGCUGAAUUAAUGCGGUUCCAGUGAAAUAUUCUACUUGAAGAUCUUAUGAAAGAAAAUCAACACUAACACCAGCUUGCCUCUCCACGGAGCAGUGCCGGUUCGAGUCCGUGGUGCAGACCGGCUGACCGUCACCACUGCCAUCUCAGGUCGAUCGUCGGGCGUGGUUAACAUUAAAAUUGUAUCCGAAGAAAAGAGAAUGUAUUCAAAAUAUUAUGUCAAUAAAUGUUUGUUAUCUAA